rnacentral:rRNA from 1 species
UACAGAGGGUGCGAGCGUUAAUCGGAAUUACUGGGCGUAAAGGGUGCGUAGGUGGUUUUCUAAGUUGGGUGUGAAAGUCCUGGGCUUAACCUGGGGAUUGCGCUCAAUACUGGGAAGCUAGAGUACUGUAGAGGAAAGUGGAAUUUCCGGUGUAGCGGUGAAAUGCGUAGAUAUCGGAAGGAACAUCAGUGGCGAAGGCGACUUUCUGGACAGCUACUGACACUGAGGCACGAAAGCGUGGGGAGCAAACAGG